AUACUUACCUGGCAGGGGAGGCACCACGAUCAGGCACAUCCCCUGCACUCUGGGUAUCCUGACCCCUGGGAUUUCCCAAAAUGUGGGGAAUUUAUCCACAUAAUGUGUAGUAACAGAGCACUGCUCUA